rnacentral:tRNA from 5 species
GAGCCCGUAGCUCAGCUGGUAGAGCAACGGACUUUUAAUCUGUAGGUCGUGGGUUCGAGUCCCACCGGGCUCACCA